UCUUGUGUUACUUAAGUUUCCACACGGGUUCGGUGUAUUACUUAUAUUUAUUUCGUACGUUUUCCUCGGUAUUUUACAACGCUUUUUCGAUAACUCUCAGAACUAAAAUCAAGACAACAUGUGUUUUAUAUUUGGGCAUUUUCCCGUUACGUCAUACUAUAUCAAGUUCCGGUAUCUAAUUUCCGAGUGCUAAUUCCGGUGGGGUACACUCUCCCCCUCUAAAUGAAAUCGCUAUUUCAACAAAUUAAUACAGGAUAAUUCUUAUGCUCAUGCAAGUAGCUACUUCGUGUUCGGGAUUUUAAAUGAUUCCUAGAGUGGAGUGAUCAGUCCCAUCUCGCAAAAUCUCACUACCGUCCUUCAAUAACCAUCCUGAUUAAUACUCAGCAAAGAGUCUUACUUCGCCAAGUAACACCGUUUUAUAGGGUUUUUCUCAUAACGUUCUAACUCAAUAACUAAGGUAUAAGGUUAAUAUGACUGGAUUGGGUAGGGAAAAGGUGGGUUUUGCCAGUUCAGAGGCAUCACAGGGGGACACGUAUACGGGUGACAAGGUAUAGGAAGCCACUUUAGAGGUACUGAUCCAAAGGGUUGUACUUCGCUUGGAGUA
rnacentral:lncRNA from 1 species